rnacentral:rRNA from 1 species
GUAGGUGGCAAGCGUUGUCCGGAAUUAUUGGGCGUAAAGCGCGCGCAGGGCGGUCCUUUAAGUCUGAUGUGAAAGCCCACGGCUCAACCGUGGAGGGUCAUUGGAAACUGGGGGACUUGAGUACAGAAGAGGAAAGCGGAAUUCCAAGUGUAGCGGUGAAAUGCGUGAGAUUUGGAGGAACACCAGUGGCGAAGGCGGCUUUCUGGUCUGUAACUGACGCUGAGGCGCGAAAGCGUGGGGAGCAAACAGGAUUAGAUACCCUGGUAGUCCACGCCGUAAACGAUGAGUGCUAAGUGUUAGGGGGUUUCCGCCCCUUAGUGCUGCAGCUAACGCAUUAAGCACUCCGCCUGGGGAGUACGGCCGCAAGGCUG